UGCCUGAAAGGAAGACUAGCGACAAGGCAGA
rnacentral:piRNA from 1 species